GGGCCCGUAGCUUAGUCUGGUGGAGUGCUCGACUGAUAAUCGAGUGAAGAAAGAGAGGGACUUUCUCUCGAAGUCCGGAGUUCAAAUCUCCGCGGGCCCA
rnacentral:tRNA from 1 species